GCCUGGCCCCAGCCGGGCGGAGGGGCAGGGGAACGGGGCAGGGAUCUGGCCAGGAGAAGGGAGCCCUUGGGUAGGGGUCAGGGCCCAGGCGCUGAGCACCCACCUUAGUCUUGUAGCACUUGCCACACUCAGGACACGGAUAGGGCCGCUCGUCCGAGUGGACGCGCCGGUGGCCGCGGACAUGCGCGAUGGUCUUGUAGAGCUUCCCGCAGUCUCCGCAGCGGAAACGGCGCUCGUGCACGUGAACCUCCUGGUGCUUCUUGAGCAGGUUCACUGGUCACCGAUGACGAUGAUGAUGACGUGACUGUCCCCAUGGUGGA